GCGCUUCCCAGCCAAAGGGAAGUGCGGCGCACAGCUCAGUAACACGUGGCUAACCUGCCCUCGAGACAGAGACAACCCCGGGAAACUGGGGCUAAUCUCCGAUAGGCGAAGAGCUCUGGAAUGAGCCUUUACCCAAAAAACGAUUAGGCUAUGCUUCUAGUCGUCGCUCGAGGAUGGGGCCGCGACCGAUCAGGUUGUUGGUGAGGUAACGGCUCACCAAGCCUAUAACCGGUGCGGGCCGUGGGAGCGGGAGCCCGGAGAUGGGCACUGAGACAAGGGCCCAGGCCCUACGGGGCGCAGCAGUCGCGCAAACUUUGCAAUACACGAAAGUGUGACAGGGCUAUCCCGAGUGCCGUCCGCUGAGGAUGGCUUUUACCCAGUCUAGAACGCUGGGGGAAUAAGGAGAGGGCAAGUCUGGUGUCAGCCGCCGCGGUAAUACCAGCUCUCCGAGUGGUGUGGAUGUUUAUUGGGCCUAAAGCAUCCGUAGCUGGCCAAGCCAGUCCCUUGUUAAACCCACCGAAUUAAUCGUUGGAUUGCGGGGAUACUGCUCGGCUAGGGGACGAGAGAGGCAGACGGUAUUCUCGGGGUAGGGGUGAAAUCCUAUAAUCCCGAGAAGACCACCAGUGGCGAAGGCUGUCUGCUAGAACGCGCCCGACGGUGAGGGAUGAAAGCUGGGGGAGCGAACCGGAUUAGAUACCCGGGUAGUCCCAGCUGUAAACGAUGCAGGCUAGGUGUUUGGACGGCCACGUGCCGUUCUAGUGCCGCAGGGAAGCUGUUAAGCCUGCCGCCUGGGGAGUACGGUCGCAAGAUUGAAACUUAAAAGGAAUUGGCGGGGGAGCACCACAAGGGGUGAAGCUUGCGGUUUAAUUGGAGUCAACGCCGGA
rnacentral:rRNA from 1 species